CCUACAUCACCUUGUACAAGUCACUUAAAUUCUCUGCUCCUUCUUCUGCAUAACAGCAAUAAUAUCACCUACUUGGUUCUAUGGAAUCAAUGCAGAUAAUUUAGGAAUUAAAUUGAAAUCAACACAAAAGCAGCUGGUGGAAUUAAGAUAUGCAGAAAGAGAGGAAAAAGUGUCGUCCAGCACUGUGAAGAGAGGAUACUGUACUUUUCAGCCAGCUGCCUGGGGAGAAUAUCACAUUCUGUGGAACAGCCCACCUAAGGAGUGGGAGAGCUCCUGACUCUGAGCCUGUAAACAGCCUGCCCAGCCAACAACUUCCUAAGCUUUUGCUCUGUGCCCCAGUCUGCUGCAAGCUGCAUUAAGAUGCAUCAACUCAGCUGGCAUAGUGGUGCAUACCUGCAAUCCCAGUGGCUCAGGAGGCUGAAACAGGAGAAUCGUGCACUGGACUGAGCUGCUACAUACUACACUGCUUAGUUCUUCCUUUCAUCUGCAGCUUCAAACUGAUGCUGACCUAUUCAAAGACCACAUGUAAAUAACACAGAAGAGGCAGUGUCAUCAGUGAACUUGAACAGAAUGAGAUGCUGGUCCACUCUGUGAUAAAUCACACCAAUAAGACAUGGUGAAUGUGAAGCAAUGCUAUCAAUGCUGGAUGUCCCGGUAAGGUACAGGAAGACAAAUCAGAAAAGGAAGAUAAAUUCUAUGAAGAAGAUACAAUUAUCUGAUGUAUUCCUGGUUAUCCUAAAAGAAAGAACACAAUAUUUCUCCUAUACCACCUAGCAGUAAGAAAGAGACCUCCUUUGUAGGCGUUCAUAGGUUUUGGGCAGAGCUGCUCUAAUUACUUAUGAGAUGACAUGGGAGGCUUCCAAAAUUAGGAAGCCCAGAGAAAGUGAGAACUCUGCACAGUUGUAGAUUGCAUCACAAGCUGUUCUAACACUAAGGCCAAGUAUUAUGCUAAUUGAAUUGGCUAAAAAUGGUCUCUGCUAAUCCUCACUACAAGAUUUGCAAUGAGGAUCUCCAUGGUACUGGAGCAAGUUCUGGAGCAGGGAAUUACUCUAUGUUAAAAACUGCUCUUGGUAUGCUAAUGGGCCCUGAGAGAGGCUUUAUCUCCUUGCCCAUUUCUAGCUGAGUACUAUCAGUUCCAUUUUGUCAAAGGUAAGACAAGUGCAGCCAUAGUCAAAUGGAAUGUUUGGAAUUGGUCCCAAGCACUUCCAAAAAAAUGAUUCAAUUACAGGAGGAGUUCAGAAUCCCAUGUUGCAUACCAUUAUUGCAUCGUUGCCUCUAUUCAAUUUAUUGUUACAAAUUUCUUGAGGAGUAACUGUAACCUGGUGACUGGAGAGUGAAAAAUUUUAACCCAGUCCAUGGGUGCUGCAGCCUGUUUCACACACAGUACAUUUUAG